AAUAGAUACCCGGGUAGUCCAUGCCGUAAACGUUGGGAACUAGAUGUGGGGACCAUUCCACGGUCUCCGUGUCGCAGCUAACGCAUUAAGUUCCCCGCCUGGGGAGUACGGCCGCAAGGCUAAAACUCAAAGGAAUUGACGGGGGCCCGCACAAGCGGCGGAGCAUGCGGAUUAAUUCGAUGCAACGCGAAGAACCUUACCAAGGCUUGACAUAUACGAGAACGCCGUAGAAAUACGGAACUCUUUGGACACUCGUAUACAGGUGGUGCAUGGUUGUCGUCAGCUCGUGUCGUGAGAUGUUGGGUUAAGUCCCGCAACGAGCGCAACCCUCGUCGUAUGUUGCCAGCACGUAAUGGUGGGAACUCAUAUGAGACUGCCGGGGUCAACUCGGAGGAAGGUGGGGAUGAGGUCAAAUCAUCAUGCCCCUUAUGUCUUGGGCUUCACGCAUGCUACAAUGGCCGGUACAAAAGGGCUGCAAAUACCGCGAGGUGGAGCGAAAUCCCAAAAAAGCCGGUCUCAGUUCGGAUUGAGGUCUGCAAACUCCG
rnacentral:rRNA from 1 species